rnacentral:tRNA from 1 species
AGCAGAUUGGCGCAGUGGGAGCGUGCUGGGCUCAUAACCCAGAGGUCGGUGGAUCGAAACCACUCUCUGCUA